GCAUGUACUUUAUUUAAAUGUUUUAAACACUGUUAUAUGAUUUUAGUAUGCUUACAGUCAUUCUAAUUCAUACUUUCAAAACAAUGGUCAAAGCAGCAAUUACAUCAACAUACUACAGAAGUGCUAUACACCCAAUUAGUACUUUAGGAAGUUAUAAAACCAAUGUACACAAGAGCACUUUGGCAGAACUUAAUUUGGGACACAGCAAGAUGUUACAUUCUAUACAGAAAUCCAGUGAAGGAUGAGUCAUUCUUGGAGAUGGAACAACAUGAUGAUUUCACAGCCUGGAACGCUCAAUAGGACCAUCAACGGGCCGUUUCAACAAUCUAACAACCAAAGGGAGCUGCCAGAGAGUCAGGCGGUCUCAUUCCAGUUGCCAAAAGCAACAGGCAGACCAUCACAGUCUGGCUUCUAAAUACAUGAGUUUUUAUUUCUGUUGAACUCAUCCAGAGAAGUGAAUCUAGUAAAUACAAUAAAAUGUAACCCAACCAAGAUUUUAUGUCACUUUCCACAGAUGCAGGUAUAUGAACAACUUAAGUGCUAAAGGAAAAUACAAGUAAGUGUUUGUAUUUAAGGGUGCAAUACUAAACUUUAUCUAUCCUUUCCCCCACCCCACCUUGAAGCAUUUUCUUAUUGUCUAUCAUAUUACCAUGAAAUUUAAUCCUUGUCCACUCUUUGAAAGGAAACUAAAUGUCCUGUUUGAUACUGAAAAGUUAACAUAGGCCUACUCAUUCUCUGCCAAGAUUC
rnacentral:lncRNA from 1 species